GACGAACGCUGGCGGCAUGCCUAACACAUGCAAGUCGAACGAAACGUUCGGGUCUAUUGGUCUACGGGGGCGUAACGCGUGGGAACCGGCCCUUAGGUUCGGAAUAACUCCCCGAAAGGGGUGCUAAUACCGGAUAAUGUCUUCGAACGAAAAAUUUAUCGCCUUUGGAUGGGCCCGCGUGGCAUUCGCUCGUUGUGAGGUUAAAAGCCGACCAAGGCGUGCAUCCAUAGCUGGUCGGAGAGGAUGAUCAGCGACGCCGGGAGUGAGACACGGCCCAGACUCUUACGGGAUGCAGCAGUGGCUAAUAGUGGACCAUGGGGGAAAGCAUGAAGGACCUAUGAUGGGUGAGUGAUGAAGGUAUUAGGGAUGUAAAGCUCUUUUACCCGGGAUGAUAAUGACAGUACCGAGAGAGUAAGCUACGGCUAACUACGUG
rnacentral:rRNA from 1 species